GAUGAACGCUGGCGGUAUGCCUUACACAUGCAAGUCGAACGGGAAUUAGCUUCGGUUAAUUCUAGUGGCGGACGGGUGAGUAACACGUGAGAAUUCGCCUUUAGGAGGGGGAUAACGAAUGGAAACAUUCGCUAAAACCCCAUAUGCCCCUGGGUGAAACAGAGGAGAUAAGUAAUACUAAAUCCCCUCUGCCUGAAGAGAAGCUCGUGGCUGAUUAGCUAGUUGGUAGGGUAAAGGCCUACCAAGGCGACGAUCAGUAGCUGGUCUGAGAGGACGAUCAGCCACACUGGAACUGAGACACGGUCCAGACUCCUACGGGAGGCUG
rnacentral:rRNA from 1 species